rnacentral:tRNA from 1 species
GGGGUCGUAGCUCAAUUGGUUAGAGCGCCGGCCUGUCACGCCGGAGGUUGCGGGUUCGAGUCCCGUCGACCUCG